rnacentral:rRNA from 1 species
UACGGGGGGUGCGAGCGUUGUCCGGAAUCACUGGGCGUAAAGGGCGCGUAGGUGGCUCUGUAAGUUUGCGGUGAAAGCCCGUGGCUCAACCCCGGGUCUGCCGUGGAUACUGCAAGGCUUGAGUACUGUAGAGGCAGGUAGAAUAUCGGGUGUAGCGGUGGAAUGCGUAGAGAUCCGAUAGAAGAGCGGUGGCGAAGGCGGCCUGCUGGGCAGUACAUGACACUGAGGCGCGACAGCGUGGGGAGCAAACAGU